rnacentral:rRNA from 1 species
UACGAAGGGGGCUAGCGUUGCUCGGAAUUACUGGGCGUAAAGCGCACGUAGGCGGAUUGUUAAGUCGGGGGUGAAAUCCUGGAGCUCAACUCCAGAACUGCCUUUGAUACUGAAGAUCUUGAGUUCGGGAGAGGUGAGUGGAACUGCGAGUGUAGAGGUGAAAUUCGUAGAUAUUCGCAAGAACACCAGUGGCGAAGGCGGCUCACUGGCCCGUUACCGACGCUCAGGCGCGACAGCGUGGGGAGCAAACAGG